rnacentral:misc_RNA from 1 species
GAUGAAGAACGUAGCGAAAUGCGAUAAGUAAUGUGAAUUGCAGAAUUCAGUGAAUCAUCGAGUCUUUGAACGCACAUUGCGCCCCCUGGUAUUCCGGGGGGCAUGCCUGUCCGAGCGUCAUUGCUGCCCUCAAGCACGGCUUGUGUGUUGGGCCCCCGCCCCCCGGCUUCGGGGGGCGGGCCCGAAAGGCAGCGGCGGCACCGCGUCCGGUCCUCGAGCGUAUGGGGCUUUGUCACCCGCUCUUGGAGGCCCGGCCGGCGCUUGCCCAUCAACCAUCGAGGACUCGUUCCUCAACCAGGUUGACCUCGGAUCAGGUAGGGAUACCCGCUGAACUUAAGCAUAUCAAUAAGCGGAGGA